GACGAACGCUGGCGGCGUGCCUAAUACAUGCAAGUCGAGCGGAUCUUCAUUAGCUUGCUUUUGAAGAUCAGCGGCGGACGGGUGAGUAACACGUGGGCAACCUGCCUGUAAGACUGGGAUAACUUCGGGAAACCGGAGCUAAUACCGGAUAAUCCUUUUCCUCUCAUGAGGAAAAGCUGAAAGACGGUUUCGGCUGUCACUUACAGAUGGGCCCGCGGCGCAUUAGCUAGUUGGUGAGGUAACGGCUCACCAAGGCGCCGAUGCGUAGCCGACCUGAGAGGGUGAUCGGCCACACUGGGACUGAGACACGGCCCAGACUCCUACGGGAGGCAGCAGUAGGGAAUCUUCCGCAAUGGACGAAAGUCUGACGGAGCAACGCCGCGUGAGCGAUGAAGGCCUUCGGGUCGUAAAGCUCUGUUGUCAGGGAAGAACAAGUACCGGAGUAACUGCCGGUACCUUGACGGUACCUGACCAGAAAGCCACGGCUAACUACGUGCCAGCAGCAGCCGCCGUAA
rnacentral:rRNA from 1 species